rnacentral:rRNA from 1 species
AUUGAACGCUGGCGGCAGGCCUAACACAUGCAAGUCGAGCGGCAGAAGGGAGCUUGCUCCUGCAUUCAGCGGCGGACGGGUGGGUGAUGCCUAGGAAUAUGCCUGGCAGUGGGGGAUAACGUCCGAACACGGGCGCUAAUACCGCAUACGUCCUGACGACGAACGUGGGAGAUCUUCGGACCUCACGCUCUCGGGUGAGCCUAGGUCGGAUUAGCUAGUUGGUGGGAUAAAGGCCUACCAAGGCGACGAUCCGUAACUGGUCUGAGAGGAUGAUCAGUCACACUGGAACUGAGACACGGUCCAGACUCCUACGGGAGGCAGCAGUGGGGAAUAUUGGACAAUGGGCGAAAGCCUGAUCCAGCCAUGCCGCGUGGGUGAAGAAGGCCUUCGGAUUGUAAAGCACUUUAAGUUGGGAGGAAGGGCAGUAAGUUAAUACCUUGCUGUUUUGACGUUACCAACAGAAUAAGCACCGGCUAACUUCGUG